rnacentral:rRNA from 1 species
AUUGAACGCUGGCGGCAGGCCUAACACAUGCAAGUCGAACGAGUGGCGGACGGGUGAGUAAUGUCUGGGAAACUGCCUGAUGGAGGGGGAUAACUACUGGAAACGGUAGCUAAUACCGCAUACCAUCGGAUGUGCCCAGAUGGGAUUAGCUAGUGGGUGGGGUAAAGGCUCACCUAGGCGACGAUCCCUAGCUGGUCUGAGAGGAUGACACACCAAAGUGGAACUGAGACACGGUCAAGACGCCUACGUGAGGCAGCAGUGGGGAAUAUUGAACAAUGGGCGCAAGCGUGAUGCAGCCAUGCCGCGUGUAUGAAGAAGGCCUUCGGGUUGUAAAGUACUUUCAGCGGGGAGGCGGUACCCGCAGAAGAAGCACCGGCUAACUCCGUGCCAGCAGCCGCGGUAAUUC